AUAAAUGACAAUAACAUAACCUGAUUGGCACUCUAAAAAAACGGGCUCAUCUAUAAAUUCGUUAGAAGCAUACACUUUUUUGAAA
rnacentral:snoRNA from 2 species